AAAAAUGUAUCAGUUCCCCAAAACAUAACAUUUCCCUAGAAGUUCAGCUGAAGUUACCAUUUUCAGCUGAAGCAACCAUUUCUCAAGAACCUCUUAAGAACGCCAUUGAAGAACUGAAGGGCACGAACAGUACAUUUUCCACACAAAUUUCCCUCAAACUUCAGUUGAAGAACACGAUUUUCAGCUGAAGAACUGAAGAAUUGAAGAGCAAUACGAUUUCUCUCAAGAAGAACUGAAGAAGAUGAUUUUUGUCACACAACUUCCUUGUUGAAGAUUGAAGAGCUGAAGAACACAAUUUUCUUCAAAAAAUUCUCAUUGAAGAGUUGUUCCAUCAGAUUUCCAGUUGAAAAUUGAGAGAAAAUGCAUCACAAAUGAACUUGCCUCAUGUCUUAAAGUUUUAGGGUUGUUGGAAUCGAUUUUAUUAGGUGGAGAGUGCUGAAGAUCGUGAACACUAGACAUAUUCAACAGUCGAGAUAGAGGGAAUUAGUAGUUGAAGCAUUAGAGUGAGUUUUGCUGAGAGGAAAGUAACAGUAUGCAAACGGCCAAUUCAUGGUUUUAUGGAUUAGAGGUAGCAUAGUAAUAUUUCCUGCAUUACUGGUACAAUUUUUGAACAAGUCGUCUCUAAAGGUGUACUACCCGAUUUGGAUGAUUGAGUUUAGGAAGAUAAAGAACCCAGUACUCCAACUGUGAGGAUCUUUGUUAAAUUAGUAUAGCAGAACAAUGAAGUAAUCAACAAUUAAAAAGAAAAAGGGUUCGGAUCCAAACAAAGCUCAAAGUCCGUUGAAGAAUAUGGAUAUUUAUAUGCAAUACCGAUCAAGUGCUGAAUUAGCCAACAAAUUCAAGAUUAAGAGAGAACAACUUUCUAAUGAACGCAAUGAUAGAGCUAAGAAACAUAAUACACCAAACCACAUAAAAAGAAAGAAUUCUGAGGAGGUUAGAACCUCACAUAUGAUAGCAAGGAAAGGGCAAACUAAAUAGAGGUUAUUUCAGUCUGAAGAGUCCAUUGAAAAUAAAGGAAUUAACCUUCCUACGAAUGACUCUUGGCUCCAAACAUCAAUGAAGAAAGGUGUUGCUGCUUCAGUACAUGUUAAUGGAACAACACAAGGUAAUGGAGAGGCACAACAUGAUAUUGAGGAUCUACUGAACCUCAAACAGGUGAAGGGGAAGUUGGUUCGACCAGUCACCAAUAUUGGUCAGUUUCUGGAUUAGCAACAGAUACACAAUGAACAUGAUAUUCUUCAUUUACCAAAUCGCAAGCAUGUAAAGAGGAAGCCAGUCAUACAAGCUAGUACUUUUGAUCAGUUUCUACAAAAUCAAGGGAUACGCAUAGAUGAUGAAACAAAAUGUGACAACCACACAACAACUAAUGUGCAUAUAAUGAACACAACAAAGGAUUGGAUGAUAUUGUGGAUCAAGAAAAACUUGGUGGAGAUGAAUGUGAUGUCGAAGAGGAAAUUGACCUUUAUUGUAGUACAAAAGGUAUGUCUUAAACCUUGUAAGAUUUAGUUCUCGUCAUAGAAGAAAUAUCUUGUUUCCUGUUUAUUACAUCAAUCUAGAAAUAUCAAAGCCAAAAAAAGUUAUAGGACAUUCAACAUGUAAGGAUAUUCACUUAAGAAAUUUGGAAGAAAGAAAGGAAGUUACAUUUGAUAAAGGGCAAUAGUGGGACCAAACUAAUAAGAUAGUGUCACAAAUAAGCAACUGUAUAGCAACAAUUGCAAGGAAUCCUAGAUUCAUCAGCUUGAUGUAUACUAGCUGCCAUGUGGUGCCAAAGGAUCAAAAAAAGCGCACAUGAGAAUAUAUCAAUUAGAAGGAAAGAAGUGGGUGAUCACUAGUCUUCGUGAUGCUUGGAGGCGACACAAGCAAAAAAUUAAAAAGAAUUUUUUUGACAAAAACAGUACCCUUGAGGAUAUGCUAGAAAGCGUCCUGAUGGCAUUCCAGAAAAUCAAUUCCACCAGCUGAUCGAGUAUUGGAAACACCCAACUGUUCAGCCAUAUGAACGAUGAAUUCUCUAAACAAGAAAAAACAAAAGUGGAGGCACCAAAUGGGACCUAUUAAUUAUGCAAGAUGUGCAGCCAAAGACAACAAUGAGGAACCAUCAAAGCCUGAAAUGUUUAGAGCAACUCAUACCAAGACGGGAAAGGAAAUCCAGGCGGAUACCCAAGUUUCAAUAGCAGAAUUGCCAAAAUUCAGGGGAAACAAUUGAUGAUACAUUUACGGCAAUAUUUGGAAAGGAGCAGCCUUGUUGACUUUGGUGCUACAGUAGAUUAGUGACAAAAAGUUUUUUGAAGAAAGAUGAGGAAAUUAACAAUCUAAAACAAAAGCAUGUCAAUGAAAUCACUUCUCUAAGGGAAGAAUUCAGAGAAGAAAUGCGAUAUUUAUUCACUCAAUUGUUGCAACAUAACCCUGAAUUGAAUUUUCAAGACAUACCAGGGUGUGUUGAUAACCUUGCUUCACCUAUUGAUGCAAUUAGCACACAAGUUGUAAGAGGAACAAAUCUUCCACAUUCUUCAAGAGCAGCUCAUGAUUCGAUUCUUCAAAAGGUUUACCUUUUGAUUUGUUGUUGGAAGGAGUCUGAGCAGCUGUCAGUGAAUAAAAAGCAUCAAAAUGCCGGUAAUUGAAUUUGAAUUGUGGAAGAAGUAAACUCGAUUUAUUGUAGUGCACGAUGAAGAGCUUUUUUAUUAUUGUCAUAUACGGCUGUAUGCAUUUGGUAUUUUGGAAUUUAUUGAUAUUAGAGAUCUUUAAGCAAUUACUUUCUAAAUAUUGGAGUUUUUGGACACGUU